GGUUCUGUGGCUAAUGGAUAGCGAUUGGACUUCUAAUUCAAAGGUUGUGGGUUCGAGUCCCACCAGAAUCG
rnacentral:tRNA from 1 species